GACGAACGCUGGCGGCGUGCUUAACACAUGCAAGUCGAACGGAAAGGCCCUGCUUUUGUGGGGUGCUCGAGUGGCGAACGGGUGAGUAACACGUGAGUAACCUGCCCUUGACUUUGGGAUAACUUCAGGAAACUGGGGCUAAUACCGGAUAGGAGCUCCUGCUGCAUGGUGGGGGUUGGAAAGUUUCGGCGGUUGGGGAUGGACUCGCGGCUUAUCAGCUUGUUGGUGGGGUAGUGGCUUACCAAGGCUUUGACGGGUAGCCGGCCUGAGAGGGUGACCGGCCACAAUGGGACUGAGAUACGGCGCAGACUCCUACGGGAGGCGGCAGUGGGGAAUAUUGCACAAUGGGCGGAAGCCUGAUGCAGCAACGCCGCGUGCGGGAUGACGGCCUUCGGGUUGUAAACCGCUUUGGACUGUGACGAAGCGUGAGUGACGGUAAUGGGUAAAGAAGCACCGGCUAACUACGUG
rnacentral:rRNA from 1 species